CAGGCUUGACAAUCCAUAAAAUGGGCAGGAUGUCAGAGGAAAGAAGGGCAAAUUCAUCUCCUGCACAGCUCUGCCCAAAUUCAAAAAGGUGUGUGUGUGUGUGUGUGUGUGUGUGUGUGAGCUUCCAAUUGUUACACUUUUUUUCUGUCAACCCUGGGUCAUUCUGCAGGAGGUGUGGUAUAGCGGCUUCUGUGGUGUAGAGACACAGAAUGAAAUCCCUUCUCAGCUAUGAAGCUCAAUGUUCAUAAUUAGCUUCCAUACAACUACUUCUCUCAUCACAUGUUGAAGACAACACUUGAAUCAAGGGACCCCACAGACACUGUCGUCCUCUUCAAGGGUCUGUUCUUUCUUCUUUGGUGAUCCCUCGUAGCCAAGUAAGAUUGUCUUCCAUGAACACAGUUUGAACAGUGAGUAAGGGUUUACCAAGCAUGCCUUCCUCUUAGCACAUUCCUCCCUUUCGUCCUGAGUUCUAGUGUCUUCAAAGUCCAUGACACCUUUGGUCAAGGCUGUUCUCCAAUUGGAGCACUCGCAGGCCAGUCUUUCCCAGUUGUCGAUAUUUAUACUGACGCGCAGCGCAAAUUAAUAAUGCAGAGUUUUUAAGUGAAAGAAUAAGAACUUUACUGAGUUAAAAUAAACUUCUUCAUAAACAACAUGGUUCCAAACAGUUUGAUUGAGAUUACAUACUGACUCUGCUCACAACUGAGGCAGACUGACUCUGACUGAAAUCUUACAGAGAGCAGAGAGAGAAAAUGGCUGCUCAGUCACAUGUCAGAGUGACUCCACAGUUAGCAGUUAGGCCUGGAUAACUUGACUAGGCCCAAAUGAUUGUGCAGUCCCAGCACUUCCCAGCCUGCUUGGCUGCUUCUGCUCUCAUGUGUCACAUGACAUAUACUACAUUUGUUUAGAUUUGCGUUGAGAGCGUCUUUAAGCCUCUUUUGUUGGCAUUACACUUUCCAAUCUUAAAUUGGGAAUUGAGUAGUUGCAUCCAAACAACAUGACCAGCCCAAUAAAGUUGAUGUUGAAGAAUCAUCGCUUUGACACUGGUGAUCUUUGCUUUUUCCAGUACACUGACAUUAGUUCACCUGUCUUCCCAAGUGAUACCACUGAUGGAAUCUUUUGAAGAGUUGGGAAUGGCGUUUAUAAGUGGUCCAUGUUUCACAAGCAUACAUUAAAGUUCGUAGUACAAUAGCUUUGUAAACAAGCAUUUUGGUUUCCCUGCAAAUGUCCCAGUCAUAAAAAACUCUGUGCUUCAAUUGGGAGAAAGCUGCACUCGCAGAGCUCAGGCAAAGCUGGAUUUUGGCAUCAGUGUUGGCCCUUGUGGAAAGCUUAGGUAGAAAAAAUGAUUGACAUUUUCCAAUGUUACACCAUUAAGCUGGCUCUGUGGCUCUGUGGAGGGGUUGUUUUGUGCUUGUUGGUGCAGCACUUAGGUUUUUUGGAUAUUGAGUGAUAGGCCAAGCUUUCUGUAAGCUUCUGUGAAGAUAUUUAGGAUGGUUUGGAGGUCAUCCUCUGAGUGUGGACACACUACGUUGCCAUCAGCAUAUUGAAGCUCUAUGAUGGAGGUUAUGGUAACCUUACUCUUUGCUUUAAGCCUACUCAAAUGGAAAAACUUUCCUUCUGUUUGAUAAAUAUUAUUUCUACUCCAGUGGGGAGUUUCCCUUCAACAAAGUGUAGGAUCAUGGUGAUGAAGUUGGGGCGAUAACACCUCCCUGUUUAACACCUGAUCCCAUUGUGAAUGUUUCAUUUUGAGAGCCAUUUUAUCUGCAAUUGUUGCCAUACUAUCAUGUAGGAGCCGAAGGAUGUUCACAAAUUUAUCCGGGCAGCCGAUUUUUAGAAGGACAGUCCACAGGGCAUUACGAUUUACAGUGUUGAAGGUCUUAGUCAGGUCAAUAAACGCCAUAUACAGGGGUUGGUUUUGCUCUCUGCAUUUUUCUUGAAGCUGUAGAGCAGUGAAAAUCAAGUCCACUGACCCCCUAGAAGGGGCGGCGGCACUGUAGUCCUCUUCAAGGGUCUGUCCCCCGCACCAACAGGAUUACAAUUGAAGGAAGAGAGUGGAAGUAUGUUUGCUAGUUGGAUCUCCUCUGUCACAUCCUUAGUUGCUGCUCCUACUAGCCCUUCAUGUAUUGAAUCAUACAGCAGUAUAAUAGAAUCAUAGAACUGUAGAGUUGGAAGGGACCCCAAGGGUCAUCUAGUCCAAACCCCUGCAAUGCAGGAAUCUCAGCUGAAGCAUCCAUGACAAAUGGACAUCCAACCUCUGUUUUAAAACCUUCAAGGACAGAGAGGGCACCACCUCCCAAGGGAGUCUGUUCUACUGUCGAACAGCUCUGACUCUCAGAAAGUUCUUCCUUAGUCCGAUUCUCCUUUCUUGUCACUUGAUGCCAUUGGUUCGAAUCCUAUUGGAAGGGGAACAUCUAGGUGCAAAGUUUGAUCCCUGCAGUGGGCUUCUCACAGGGUUUAGACUCCAUGCUUCCGCUUCCCCUCCAACAAACAGAAGGUGGUGGGCCUUAGGAGAAUUGUGCUAAAGCCUCUGGACAAGGCUAUAAGAUAGAAUGGAAAGUUCAUGAGUAAUAAUAAUUUAUUAUUUAUAUGCUGCCCCUCAGACUGGGUUGCCCCAGCCACUCUGGGCGGCUCCCAACAAAAAAGAGUAAAAACACAAUACAACAUCUCACUUUAAAAUUUUGCUGAACAGGACUGUCUUCAGAUGUCUUUUAAAGAUCCCAUAGCUGUUUAUCUGUUUGACAUCUACAGGGCAGGCACCACUACCAAAAAGGCCCUCUACCUGAACAUUUCAACACACCUGGAAACAGAGAAUGUUUGCUAUAAAUCUUCAUUCAUAAUCUUCAGAUCAUUGCUAUUCUCAGAAUACUUAGAUCAGAAUCCUGAGACCAGUAGGUAUAGGGUGGUAUACAAAUUAAACAACAAACAAGUAAAAGAUCACUCUUCCCCAACCUGGUCUUCUCUGGGUGUUGUUGGGUUACAGUUCCCAUCAGUCCCAGCUAGAAUGGACAAUGGUCAGAGAUGAUUGGAAUCAUAGUCCAAAACACCUGGCAAGCACUAGCUUGGGAGAAACUGCUUUAGAUUUCCCAAUAGCAAAACGGUUUAGUUUACAAGGCUUCCUAACAGUACUGGUGAUGCCUGGAACUCUUUUUAACCUUAUGAAAUUUUAUAAUAUUACAGUUUCAAGAUUUUGGAAUUACAUUUAGUUGACCUGUAGAGAUUCAGCACUCAUUUCUGAUUUGCAGAAUUGGGGGGUGGGGGUGGGAUUGUUAGUAUUAUUCUUAUUAUAGAGUUUCAGAACAGACGUUAAAAUGGCCUUAAUGUGUUCCCCGCAGGGAGAAAGGGUAGAGGUUGCAUCACAAUAUAUUUUCUUGGAAAUGGCAGAAGAUGGAUGGAGAGAGGUGAAAAAAUUGAUGAUUUCAGGAGGGGGAGUGGAUUGAAUGAUGGAUGAGGAGG